GUAUAUGAGGGUGAUCUGGCUGCAACAUCUGUCACCCAUUAACCAUUAAUGUUGAUUCUGCUGAUCUGCCUGGCUAGGCAGGUGUUCCCUUCCUCCCUCACCACUCCCUGUGCAUUCCUCAUGAAGCUGCACACACUAUUGAAGAGGGUGACCUUCCCCUCCUAGAGGACUGGUCUUUGGUCAAGAUUAUACAAGUAGCACUCCCCUCCUAAAACUUCCAAACAAACUCUCAAAAUAUAUACUUCACUACACUUUAGUAAUAAUUCUGUACCAUGAAUGACCAUGGUCAAUUGAAACUAUACCAAGGGAAACUGAGGAAAAGAACUAUCUUGACCUGAUAUUU
rnacentral:snRNA from 1 species